rnacentral:rRNA from 1 species
CCAGACUCUACGGGAGGCAGCAGUGGGGAAUAUUGCACAAUGGGCGGAAGCCUGAUGCAGCAACGCCGCGUGCGGGAUGACGGCCUUCGGGUUGUAAACCGCUUUCGCCUGUGACGAAGCGUGAGUGACGGUAAUGGGUAAAGAAGCACCGGCUAACUACGUGCCAGCAGCCGCGGUGAUACGUAGGGUGCGAGCGUUGUCCGGAUUUAUUGGGCGUAAAGGGCUCGUAGGUGGUUGAUCGCGUCGGAAGUGUAAUCUUGGGGCUUAACCCUGAGCGUGCUUUCGAUACGGGUUGACUUGAGGAAGGUAGGGGAGAAUGGAAUUCCUGGUGGAGCGGUGGAAUGCGCAGAUAUCAGGAGGAACACCAGUGGCGAAGGCGGUUCUCUGGGCCUUUCCUGACGCUGAGGAGCGAAAGCGUGGGGAGCGAACAGGCUUAGAUACCCUGGUAGUCCACGCUGUAAACGGUGGGUACUAGGUGUGGGGUCCAUUCCACGGGUUCCGUGCCGUAGCUAACGCUUUAAGUACCCCGCCUGGGGAGUACGGCCGCAAGGCUAAAACUCAAAGGAAUUGACGGGGGCCCGCACAAG